rnacentral:rRNA from 1 species
UACGUAGGGGGCAAGCGUUGUCCGGAAUCAUUGGGCGUAAAGAGCGUGUAGGCGGCCAGAUAAGUCCGCUGUGAAAUCUCGAGGCUCAACUUCGAGCUGUCGGUGGAAACUGUCUGGCUAGAGUCCGGAAGAGGAGAAUGGAAUUCCUGGUGUAGCGGUGAAAUGCGUAGAUAUCAGGAAGAACACCUAUGGCGAAAGCAGCUCUCUGGGACGGUACUGACGCUGAGACGCGAAAGCGUGGGGAGCGAACAGG